AUGACGCAGAAGAUCGUGAUCGCGGUGCAGAUGGCGAGCAGCAGGUGCCGGUCCAAGGCGCUGGCGCUGGUGGCGGCCACGCCGGGAGUGGACUCGGUGGCGCUCGCCGGGGACGGCAAGGACCAGGUGGUGGUCGUCGGCCACGGCGUCGACUCCGUCAAACUCGCCAGCGCGCUGCGCAGGAAGGUCGGCCACGCGCAGCUGCUGCAGGUUGGCGACGCCAAGAAGGAGGACGGGACGAAGCCGCCGGCCGCCGUGGUCGAAUACUACCCGUACGGCUACUACUACCCGUCGCAACCGGCGCCGGUCAACUUCUUCUACGAGCAGCAGCACUACCCUGCUGUUGCUGCCGUGGAGGCGUACGGGUACCCAUGCUCGCGGCCGGAGCCGGGCACCUGCUCAGUAAUGUAG
rnacentral:rRNA from 1 species